rnacentral:ncRNA from 1 species
UUAUUUUGGUUCUGGAUGGGAAAAUAGGUUAGUCACUUACAUAUUAUGGCUGUUUUGAUUAUAAAUUGUACGUAAAGUCAGUAUGAAGAUUUGGAGAUAGAGGAAACUCUGAUUUUAGUAAGUGUUUAAUUAAAAGUUGCUAAUCUUUGUGCCAGCAGCUGCGGUUAUACAAGAGCUUUAGUUAUUUAUUACGGCGAAUAAAAAUUUGGGAUUAGGUUGCUGUAGAACUAUUUAUUUGGGUAGAAUCAGGAAGAGACGGAUUCAUAGACAGCUUUAUAUAUUUUUUUUGUGAAAGAAAGGUGUGAAACUAGGAUUAGAUACCCUAUUAUUCUUUUGGUAAAGAGAAGGGGAUUAAGGGGAAUAGGCCCGAAACUUAAAGAGACUUGGCGGUUCCUAUAAGUCAGGGAGACUUGUCGGUAAAAUUGAUAAUCCACAGAAAUUUCUUCUUUCCCAAGGUACGUGUAUUUCCGUUAUCAGUCUAUUCUGUAAAGAGGAAUAAAAAGACAAUAAGUUUUUAACUUUAUUUCAGGUAAAGUGCGGCUUAUGGAGGAAGUCCUGAUGGGUCGCAUUUAUUGUAAUUAUUUUGAGAUAAAUAGUUAAAUUCGGACUUGAUAGUAAAAAGGAUGAAAAAGACUUAUUGAAUUGAGAAAAUGGGAAUGUACAUAUCGCCCGUCGCUCUCGAGAGAGAUAAGUCGUAACAUAGUAAGGUUAGCGGAAGCUGGUCUUGG